GCCUUCGUGGUGUAAUAGUUAGCACACUGAGCCGGUAUUUCAGAGGUCCGUGGUUCGAUCCCCGGCGAAGGAA
rnacentral:tRNA from 1 species